rnacentral:pre_miRNA from 12 species
CCAGCCGAUUGUACUGAGUGAGUGAUGGUCUGGUGCACGGUUUAUCGAUCUGUGACUAGAUCCACACUCAUUAAGUACGUUCGGCU